rnacentral:lncRNA from 1 species
CUGAGGUAACUGGUAUCCUGGCCCCAUGUUGGCACCUAGCACUAAACAUCUGAGCUUAAAGUGCCUUUUCCCAAGAGCCUUCAAAGCUUUUGCAACUCUCUUGAUCCCUUGGAAUUGUUGGCGGGUCUCCAGGUCAAGGACUACACUUCCCAUAAGGCACUGGGGCGCAGCUCUGAGAGCGGCCAGCUUGCGAUGCUCCAGGGCCUACUGGGAGUUGUAGUGCAGCUGUAUCUUUAAGGCACCUUCGUUGUCCCGCAGUACGGAACCAGUGCCCACGAUUGGAUGCUUCGUGUGUGACGUUAGGGAGGUUGUGCCCUACCUGGUUGGAUCCGCUGACGUGCAGCAUCCAGUUCAGCGUCCUCGCCUCCCAGAGACUCAAGAGAAGUGCAAUAGGGAAAGGUCGUUCCAGACUGCUGGCUCUCUGGCACCCUCACGUGGAAGUUACACUCCAAAGCCUUAAGGGCGGGACCCAUGUAAUUUGGACCCCACCUCAGUUCAGCUGCUCCGCGUCCUGGUGUUCAAGAGAGAACCUUGGCUUCUUCUCGAUCUCCGUUCUCAGGCCGGAUCCCCGGUGCUCUUCAUGUCUUUUUUUUUUUUUUUUCCGUCUCUCUCUCCUUGCUGCAAUUUUGAAAUAAAAUGCCAAAGAACAAGA